AAAGUCGGAUUUUCUUCAGGUUACGGACAACCGAAAGCAGCAGCAGCGCCGACAGUAGUGGGGAGAACACCUUUAAAUGGAGCAGACAGAGGAGUGGAUAAAAUGACCACCUUAUCAUCGGGGCCAAAGAUACUGCUGCAGUCGGAUGGAGGGAAGAGUUGAGGCAGAAUUCCAUCUACAUGUUGCAUUUCUAUGUAAAAGUCACACAAGUUAAAAGAAGUCCUGUUCAAACACCAACGUACAAAUAUAAUCUUUUGAUCA